AACGUAGGAGACGAACGUUAUCCGGAGUUACUGGGCGUAAAGGGCGCGUAGGCGGCCUUCUAAGUCGAACGUGAAAUCCCCGGGCUCAACCCGGGAACUGCGUCCGAUACUGGAAGGCUUGAAUCCGGGAGAGGGAUGUGGAAUUCCAGGUGUAGCGGUGAAAUGCGUAGAUAUCUGGAGGAACACCGGUGGCGAAGGCGACAUCCUGGACCGGUAUUGACGCUGAGGCGCGAAAGCCAGGGGAGCAAACGGG
rnacentral:rRNA from 1 species